GAUGAACGCUGGCGGCGUGCCUAAUACAUGCAAGUCGAGCGAACAGACGAGGAGCUUGCUCCUCUGACGUUAGCGGCGGACGGGUGAGUAACACGUGGAUAACCUACCUAUAAGACUGGGAUAACUUCGGGAAACCGGAGCUAAUACCGGAUAAUAUAUUGAACCGCAUGGUUCAAUAGUGAAAGACGGUUUUGCUGUCACUUAUAGAUGAUCCGCGCCGCAUUAGCUAGUUGGUAAGGUAACGGCUUACCAAGGCAACGAUGCGUAGCCGACCUGAGAGGGUGAUCGGCCACACUGGAACUGAGACACGGUCCAGACUCCUACGGGAGGCAGCAGUAGGGAAUCUUCCGCAAUGGGCGAAAGCUUGACGGAGCAACGCCGCGUGAGUGAUGAAGGUCUUCGGAUCGUAAAACUCUGUUAUUAGGGAAGAACAAAUGUGUAAGUAACUAUGCACGUCUUGACGGUACCUAAUCAGAAAGCCACGGCUAACUACGUG
rnacentral:rRNA from 1 species